AACUUUGGACAACGGAUCACUUGGCUCUCGCAUCGAUGAAGAACGCAGCGAAAUGCGAUAAGUAAUGUGAAUUGCAGAUAUUCAGUGAAUCAUCGAAUCUUUGAACGCACCUUGCGCCCCAUGGUAUUCCGUGGGGCAUGCCUGUUUGAGUGUCAUUAAAUUAUCAACCUCAAUAGCUUUAUUGUCUAUUUGAUGGCUUGGACUUGAGGUGUGCUGGACUUUUAUUAGUUCGGCUCCCUUUUAAAUGCAUCAGCGGAGCUACUCGCUUCCGGCUAAUAUCGAUGUGAUAAUUAUCUUCAUCGUUGUCUGCUGGUCCCAGAGUCUGCUUAUAAUAGUCCUUUGGACAAUAUAAUGACAAUUUGACCUCAAAUCAGGUAGGACUACCCGCUGAACUUAAGCAUAUCAAUAAGCGGAGGCU
rnacentral:misc_RNA from 1 species